rnacentral:rRNA from 1 species
CGGAUGAACGCUGGCGGCGUGCCUAAUACAUGCAAGUCGAGCGAACGGACGAGAAGCUUGCUUCUCUGAUGUUAGCGGCGGACGGGUGAGUAACACGUGGAUAACCUACCUAUAAGACUGGGAUAACUUCGGGAAACCGGAGCUAAUACCGGAUAAUAUUUUGAACCGCAUGGUUCAAAAGUGAAAGACGGUCUUGCUGUCACUUAUAGAUGGAUCCGCGCUGCAUUAGCUAGUUGGUAAGGUAACGGCUUACCAAGGCAACGAUGCAUAGCCGACCUGAGAGGGUGAUCGGCCACACUGGAACUGAGACACGGUCCAGACUCCUACGGGAGGCAGCAGUAGGGAAUCUUCCGCAAUGGGCGAAAGCCUGACGGAGCAACGCCGCGUGAGUGAUGAAGGUCUUCGGAUCGUAAAACUCUGUUAUUAGGGAAGAACAUAUGUGUAAGUAACUGUGCACAUCUUGACGGUACCUAAUCAGAAAGCCACGGCUAACUACGUGCCAGCAGCCGCGGUAAUACGUAGGUGGCAAGCGUUAUCCGGAAUUAUUGGGCGUAAAGCGCGCGUAGGCGGUUUUUUAAGUCUGAUGUGAAAGCCCACGGCUCAACCGUGGAGGGUCAUUGGAAACUGGAAAACUUGAGUGCAGAAGAGGAAAGUGGAAUUCCAUGUGUAGCGGUGAAAUGCGCAGAGAUAUGGAGGAACACCAGUGGCGAAGGCGACUUUCUGGUCUGUAACUGACGCUGAUGUGCGAAAGCGUGGGGAUCAAACAGGAUUAGAUACCCUGGUAGUCCACGCCGUAAACGAUGAGUGCUAAGUGUUAGGGGGUUUCCGCCCCUUAGUGCUGCAGCUAACGCAUUAAGCACUCCGCCUGGGGAGUACGACCGCAAGGUUGAAACUCAAAGGAAUUGACGGGGACCCGCACAAGCGGUGGAGCAUGUGGUUUAAUUCGAAGCAACGCGAAGAACCUUACCAAAUCUUGACAUCCUUUGACAACUCUAGAGAUAGAGCCUUCCCCUUCGGGGGACAAAGUGACAGGUGGUGCAUGGUUGUCGUCAGCUCGUGUCGUGAGAUGUUGGGUUAAGUCCCGCAACGAGCGCAACCCUUAAGCUUAGUUGCCAUCAUUAAGUUGGGCACUCUAAGUUGACUGCCGGUGACAAACCGGAGGAAGGUGGGGAUGACGUCAAAUCAUCAUGCCCCUUAUGAUUUGGGCUACACACGUGCUACAAUGGACAAUACAAAGGGCAGCGAAACCGCGAGGUCAAGCAAAUCCCAUAAAGUUGUUCUCAGUUCGGAUUGUAGUCUGCAACUCGACUACAUGAAGCUGGAAUCGCUAGUAAUCGUAGAUCAGCAUGCUACGGUGAAUACGUUCCCGGGUCUUGUACACACCGCCCGUCACACCACGAGAGUUUGUAACACCCGAAGCCGGUGGAGUAACCUUUUAGGAGCUAGCCGUCGAAGGUGGGACAAAUGAUUGGGGUG